rnacentral:rRNA from 1 species
CCCCAAGAUGAGGUUUCGUAGGGUGUAUACCCGAAAGUCCCCUGGAAGACGACCAGGUUGAUAGGCCGGACGUGUACGUGCAGUAAUGCAUUUAGCUAACCGGUACUAACGGACGAAUGCUUGACCACUC